GACGAACGCUGGCGGCGUGCUUAACACAUGCAAGUCGAACGGAAAGGCCCUGCUUUUGUGGGGUGCUCGAGUGGCGAACGGGUGAGUAACACGUGAGUAACCUGCCCUUGACUUUGGGAUAACUUCAGGAAACUGGGGCUAAUACCGGAUAGGAGCUCCUGCUGCAUGGUGGGGGUUGGAAAGUUUCGGCGGUUGGGGAUGGACUCGCGGCUUAUCAGCUUGUUGGUGGGGUAGUGGCUUACCAAGGCUUUGACGGGUAGCCGGCCUGAGAGGGUGACCGGCCACAUUGGGACGUAGAUACGGCCCAGACUCCUACGGGAGGCAGCAGUGGGGAAUAUUGCACAAUGGGCGGAAGCCUGAUGCAACAACGCCGCGUGCGGGAUGACGGCCUUCGGGUUGUAAACCGCUUUCGCCUGUGACGAAGCGUGAGUGACGGUAAUGGGUAAAGAAGCACCGGCUAACUACGUGCCAGCCGCCGCUGUAACAC
rnacentral:rRNA from 1 species